rnacentral:rRNA from 1 species
ACGGGUGAGUAACGCGUGGGAACAUACCUUUCGGUUCGGAAUAGCCCCGGGAAACUGGGUGUAAUACCGGAUACGUCCUUAGGGAGAAAGAUUUAUCGCCGAAAGAUUGGCCCGCGUUAGAUUAGGUAGUUGGUGGGGUAAAAGCCUACCAAGCCUACGAUCUAUAGCUGGUCUGAGAGGGG